UACGUAGGGUGCGAGCGUUAAUCGGAAUUACUGGGCGUAAAGCGUGCGCAGGCGGUUUUGUAAGACCAAUGUGAAAUCCCCGGGCUUAACCUGGGAACUGCGUUUGAAACUACAGAGCUAGAGUGUGGCAGAGGGGGGUGGAAUUCCAUGUGUAGCAGUGAAAUGCGUAGAGAUAUGGAAGAACAUCGAUGGCGAAGGCAGCCCCUGGGUUAACACUGACGCUCAUGCACGAAAGC
rnacentral:rRNA from 1 species